GAUGAACGCUGGCGGCGUGCCUAAUACAUGCAAGUCGAGCGAACGGACGAGAAGCUUGCUUCUCUGAUGUUAGCGGCGGACGGGUGAGUAACACGUGGAUAACCUACCUAUAAGACUGGGAUAACUUCGGGAAACCGGAGCUAAUACCGGAUAAUAUUUUGAACCGCAUGGUUCAAAAGUGAAAGACGGUCUUGCUGUCACUUAUAGAUGGAUCCGCGCUGCAUUAGCUAGUUGGUAAGGUAACGGCUUACCAAGGCAACGAUGCAUAGCCGACCUGAGAGGGUGAUCGGCCACACCGGAACUGAGACACGGUCCAGACUCCUACGGGAGGCAGCAGUAGGGAAUCUUCCGCAAUGGGCGAAAGCCUGACGGAGCAACGCCGCGUGAGUGAUGAAGGUCUUCGGAUCGUAAAACUCUGUUAUUAGGGAAGAACAUAUGUGUAAGUAACUGUGCACAUCUUGACGGUACCUAAUCAGAAAGCCACGGCUAACUACGUGCCAGCAGCCGCGGUAAUACGUAGGUGGCAAGCGUUAUCCGGAAUUAUUGGGCGUAAAGCGCGCGUAGGCGGUUUUUUAAGUCUGAUGUGAAAGCCCACGGCUCAACCGUGGAGGGUCAUUGGAAACUGGAAAACUUGAGUGCAGAAGAGGAAAGUGGAAUUCCAUGCGUGGCGGUGAAAUGCGCAGAGAUAUGGAGGAACACCAGUGGCGAAGGCGACUUUCUGGUCUGUAACUGACGCUGAUGCGCGAAAGCGUGGGGAUCAAACAGGAUUAGAUACCCUGGUAGUCCACGCCGUAAACGAUGAGUGCUAAGUGUUAGGGGGUUUCCGCCCCUUAGUGCUGCAGCUAACGCAUUAAGCACUCCGCCUGGGGAGUACGACCGCAAGGUUGAAACUCAAAGGAAUUGACGGGGACCCGCACAAGCGGUGGAGCAUGUGGUCUAAUUCGAAGCAACGCGAAGAACCUUACCAAAUCUUGACAUCCUUUGACAACUCUAGAGAUAGAGCUUUCCCCUUCGGGGGACAAAGUGACAGGUGGUGCAUGGUUGUCGUCAGCUCGUGUCGUGAGAUGUUGGGUUAAGUCCCGCAACGAGCGCAACCCUUAAGCUUAGUUGCCAUCAUUAAGUUGGGCACUCUAAGUUGACUGCCGGUGACAAACCGGAGGAAGGUGGGGAUGACGUCAAAUCAUCAUGCCCCUUAUGAUUUGGGCUACACACGUGCUACAAUGGACAAUACAAAGGGCAGCGAAACCGCGAGGUCAAGCAAAUCCCAUAAAGUUGUUCUCAGUUCGGAUUGUAGUCUGCAACUCGACUACAUGAAGCUGGAAUCGCUAGUAAUCGUAGAUCAGCAUGCUACGGUGAAUACGUUCCCGGGUCU
rnacentral:rRNA from 1 species